AAGGAGGUAAAUCCUGAAUUCAUAGUAUGUUUGACUCUACCACACUGUUUGCUCUGUGAUAUGGAAACAUUAGAGGUUUUAACAUUCCUCGAAGUUUUAUGGGAAGCAAAUCUGUGUCAGGGACACAGUGUAAGUUUUCUCCUUUUGGCAACCCACCUUGCUUUGAAUGAACUGAAUGUCAGCUGGAUUUCACGGCAUAUCUGAUUUACAGUCUUUGUGUUGUCAAGGCCUUAAAUGUUAUGCUUUAUCCUAGGCAGAUGGGAAAUACCUUGAGCCCUGUGUUUGACAUGUAUGCCUAAGGAAGGGAACUCCCCGAUGGAUCAUGGCGUUAAUGUUUACAGGACAUUUCUUAUUUUUAGCAUUAGUGAUGUUGGCUUUCUCUACUUUUGAGGAAUCUGUGAGCAAUUACUCUGACUGGGCAGUUUUCACCGAUGAUACAGAUCAGUUUAAGACACAGAAAGUGCAAGAUUUCAAACCCAGUCCAAAGCUGAAGAAAAGUAUGCUUCAUCCAAGUUUAUAUUUUGAUGCUGGAGAAAUCCAGGCAAUGAGACAAAAGUCUCGUACAAGCCAUUUGCAUCUGUUUAGAGCUAUCAGAAGUGCAGUCACAGUUAUGCUGUCCAACCCCACAUACUACCUACCUCCACCCAAGCAUGCUGAUUUUGCUGCCAAGUGGAAUGAAAUUUAUGGUAACAAUCUGCCUCCUUUAGCACUGUACUGUUUGUUAUGUCCAGAAGACAACGUUGCCUUUGAGUUUGUCUUGGAAUUUAUGGACAGGAUGGUUGGCUACAAAGACUGGCUGGUUGAGAAUGCACCAGGGGAUGAGGUUCCAAUUGGCCAUUCCUUAACGGGUUUUGCCACUGCCUUUGACUUUUUGUAUAACCUACUAGAUGAUCAUCGAAGACAAAAAUACCUGGAAAAAAUAUGGGCUGUUACUGAGGAAAUGUAUGAGUAUUCCAAGGUCCGUUCGUGGGGCAAACAACUUCUCCAUAAUCACCAAGCUACUAACAUGAUAGCAUUACUCACUGGGGCUUUGGUGACUGGGGUAGAUAAAGGUUCUAAAGCAAACGUGUGGAAACAGGUUGUAGUAGAUGUGAUGGAAAAGACGAUGUUUCUGUUGAAUCACGUUGUUGAUGGUUCUCUAGACGAAGGUGUGGCCUAUGGAAGCUACACAGCUAAAUCAGUCACACAGUAUGUUUUUCUAGCCCAGCGUCAUUUUAAUAUCAACAACUUGGAUAAUAACUGGUUAAAAAUGCACUUUUGGUUCUAUUACGCCACCCUUUUACCAGGCUUCCAAAGAACUGUGGGUAUAGCAGAUUCCAAUUAUAAUUGGUUUUAUGGUCCAGAGAGCCAGUUAGUUUUUUUGGAUAAGUUUAUCUUAAAGAAUGGAGCUGGGAAUUGGUUAGCUCAGCAAAUUAGAAGGCACCGACCUAAAGAUGGACCAAUGGUCCCCUCCACUGCCCAGAGGUGGAGUACUCUUCACACUGAGUUCAUCUGGUAUGAUCCCCAGCUCACCCCACAGCCUCCUGCUGAAUAUGGUACUGCAAAAAUGCACACAUUCCCAAACUGGGGUGUUGUCACCUAUGGGGCUGGGUUGCCAAAUACACAGACCAAUACCUUUGUGUCUUUUAAGUCUGGGAAGCUAGGGGGGCGAGCGGUGUAUGACAUAGUUCACUUUCAGCCAUACUCCUGGAUUGACGGGUGGAGAAGCUUUAACCCAGGACAUGAACAUCCAGAUCAGAACUCAUUUACUUUUGCCCCCAAUGGGCAAGUGUUUGUUUCUGAAGCUCUCUAUGGACCCAAGCUGAGCCACCUUAACAACGUACUGGUGUUUGCUCCAUCACCCACAAGCCAGUGUAAUAAGCCCUGGGAAGGUCAACUGGGAGAAUGUGCACAGUGGCUCAAGUGGACCGGCGAGGAGGCUGGUGAUGCGGCAGGGGAAAUUGUCACUGCCUCUCAGCAUGGAGAAAUGAUAUUUGUGAGUGGGGAAGCAGUGUCUGCUUACUCUUCAGCAAUGAAGCUGAAAAGUGUGUAUCGUGCUUUGCUUCUCUUAAAUUCCCAGACUUUGCUAGUUGUGGAUCACGUUGAGAAGCAAGACAAUUCCCCAAUAAAAUCUGUCAGUGCCUUCUUUCAUAAUCUGGACAUCGAUUUUAAGUAUAUCCCUUAUAGGUUUAUGAACAGGUACAAUGGCGCCAUGAUGGAUGUGUGGGAUGCACACUACAGAAUGUUCUGGUUUGAUCAUCGUGGCAAUAGUCCCAUUGCUAGCAUACAGGAAGCAGAGCAAGCUGCUGAAUUUAAGAAACGGUGGACUCAAUUUGUUAAUGUUACAUUUCAGAUGGAAUCCACAAUCACAAGAAUUGCAUAUGUCUUUUAUGGGCCAUAUGUCAAUGUUUCCAGCUGCAGAUUUAUUGAUAAUUCCAAUUCUGGACUUCAGAUUUCUCUCAAUGUCAAUAAUACUGAACAUGUCGUGUCCAUUGUAACUGACUACCAUAACCUGAAGACAAGAUUCGAUUACCUGGGUUUUGGUGGCUUUGCCAAUGUGGCUGAUCAGGGCCAAAUAACCCGAUUUGGUUUGGGCACUCAAGCAAUAGCCAAGCCCGUAAGACAAGGUAGGGUUAUUUUCCCCUUUGGAUUUAAAUUUAAUAUAGCAGCUGGGUUGAUUUUGUGCAUUAGCUUGGUGAUUUUAACCUUUCAGUGGCGGUUUUACCUUUCUUUUAGAAAGCUAAUGCGGUGGGUCCUGAUGCUUGUUAUUGUCUUGUGGUUUAUUGAGCUGCUGGAUGUGUGGAGCACUUGCACUCAGCCCCUCUGUGCAAAAUGGGCAAGGAAAGAGGCCGAGGCAAGCCCGAAGUCCUUGUCUUCCGAGGGGCACCACCUCGAUCUUCCCUACGUCGUCAUUACCUCACUUCCUGGUUCAGGAGCUGAGAUUCUCAAACAGCUUUUUUUCAACAGUAGUGAUUUUCUCUACAUCAGAGUUCCUACAACCUACAUCGAUAUUCCUGAAACUGAAUUUGAAAUUGACUCAUUUGCAGAUGCCUGUGAAUGGAAGGCAUCAGAUAUCCACAGCGUGCAUUUCCGUUUACUCCGAGGCUGGUUGCAGUCCUUGGUUCAAGACACGAAACUACAUUUGCAAAACAUCCAUCUGCAUGAACCCAGUAGGGGUAAACUGGCCCCAUAUUUUACAGCAAAUAAGGACAAAAAAAGAAAAUUGAAAAGGAGAGAGUCUUUGCCAGAACAAAGAAGUAGAAUGAAAGGCACCUUUGAUAGAGAUGCUGAAUAUAUUAGGGCUUUGAGGAGACACCUGGUCUAUUACCCAAGCGCGCGUCCUGUGCUCAGCUUAAGCAGCGGGAGCUGGACCUUAAAGCUUCAUUUUUUUCAAGAAGUUUUAGGAGCUUCUAUGAGGGCAUUGUACAUAGUAAGGGACCCUCGGGCAUGGAUUUAUUCAAUGCUGUACAGUAGUAAACCAAGUCUCUACUCUUUGAAAAAUGUACCAGAACACUUAGCUAAAUUGUUUAAAAUAGAGGGAGGUAAAGGCAAAUGUAUCUUAAAUUCAGGCUAUGCUUUCGAGUAUGAAUCGUUGAGGAAAGAAUUAUCAAAAUCCCAGUCAAAUGCAGUCUCCCUGUUGUCUCAUUUGUGGCUAGCAAACACAGCAGCGGCCCUGAGAAUAAAUACAGAUUUGCUGCCUACCAGCUACCAGCUGAUCAAGUUUGAAGAUAUUGUACAUUUUCCUCAGAAAACCACUGAAAGGAUUUUUGCCUUUCUCGGAAUACCUUUGUCUCCUGCUAGUUUAAACCAAAUAUUGUUCGCCACCUCCACAAACCUUUUCUAUCUUCCCUAUGAAGGGGAAAUAUCACCAAGUAAUACUAAUGUUUGGAAACAGAACUUGCCUAGAGAAGAAAUUAAACUGAUUGAGAGCAUCUGCUGGACACUGAUGGAGCGUCUAGGAUAUCCAAAGUUUAUGGACUAAAUGCUGCAGGUCAGCAGAGAUUUGCACUAAUCCUUUGCAGCCCGGUUUGUGGAUGUGACGAGUUUGUUUAUUCUUGUACUAUGUGUGCGUGCGUGCGCGUGUUCAGUUUGUUACUUGCACAGAGAUUAUUUUAAAAAUAGGCCACAUAUUUGGCCUAGCAGGAUUUAUUUUUACGUCGCUACUUCCCUUGCCUUUGUUUCUGAAUUUGUUUUCUGCUGAAAUGUUCCUGCUACAGAGGCGUAGAUGAAGUUAUAGGAUGGCGGUCAGUGGAGGAUGUGUGAUCUCAAAUCGGAUCAAAUCAAAAGGCUUUGGGUUGGCAGUAAUAGCAGGUCUGAUCAAGGUAAGACUUACACAUGUGUACAGAAGCUGAACCGCUCCCUGUUAGUAUUGCAGAAACACCCCCAAGGGGAAGGAGAGAACCAGGUGGGCUAUGUGGAGGAAUCGGAGGAGAGGGGGGGGAAAAUGAAAAAAAAGCAGUUGUGUGGAUGAGCAUGGGGACAUGUUACUGAUAGCUGAAGAAAGGGGCACAUUUCCCAAAGUGAUCUUCACAGUGUGUCCUAACUUUCGCCCCCACACAGCAAUGCCAAGAUGAAUUUGCCUGGCACUGUACUCACCUCCCCCCACCCAAGGGAAGGUCUGCUGGAAGAGACCUCUAUCUGCAGAGUCCCCUUUGAGGGACAUUAUGGGUGAGGGACGACCCAGGCGCUGGAUCUGCACGCAGAUGUUCGUGCUUGGGACCCCUUGCCUUAUAAUACCUGAGGUGACUAACUCCCAGAACGUCCAGGUCCUGCAUCCUUAGGGUGUCAGCUUCAGAAAAAUUCCGAUAGCCUCCACACUUAAUUUUAUUCGUAUCGUCUUGAAAAUCAUUAAAGGGAUGAUUGUCACUAUGUGACUCUUCUAAAGGAGACACCUGUCCUCUCUGUAAAAUUAACCCCUUUCUUUAUUAACUUCCCCGAACUUAGGCCUAACUGGGAUAAAAACUGUUACUAAAAUAAUAGAAUUUAGGUCUUGAAAUUAAAAAAA